rnacentral:rRNA from 1 species
UGGGGAAUAUUGGACAAUGGGCGCAAGCCUGAUCCAGCAAUGCCGCGUGUGUGAAGAAGGCCUGCGGGUUGUAAAGCACUUUAAGCGGGAAAGAAGGGGCCAAGGCUAAUACCCUUGGUCAUUGACGUUACCCGCAGAAUAAGCACCGGCUAACUCCGUGCCAGCAGCCGCGGUAAUACGGAGGGUGCGAGCGUUAAUCGGAAUUACUGGGCGUAAAGCGCGCGUAGGCGGUUCGUUAAGUCAGCCGUGAAAGCCCCGGGCUUAACCUGGGAACUGCGGAUGAUACUGGCGGGCUAGAGUGUGGCAGAGGGUGGCGGAAUUUCCGGUGUAGCAGUGAAAUGCGUAGAGAUCGGAAGGAACACCAGUGGCGAAGGCGGCCAUCUGGGCCAACACUGACGCUGAGGUGCGAAAGCGUGGGGAGCAAACAGG